rnacentral:rRNA from 1 species
GACGAACGCUGGCGGCGUGCCUAAUACAUGCAAGUAGGACGCACAGUUUAUACCGUAGCUUGCUACACCAUAGACUGUGAGUUGCGAACGGGUGAGUAACGCGUAGGUAACCUACCUAUUAGAGGGGGAUAACUAUUGGAAACGAUAGCUAAUACCGCAUAACAGUAUGUAACACAUGUUAGAUGCUUGAAAGAUGCAAUUGCAUCGCUAGUAGAUGGACCUGCGUUGUAUUAGCUAGUAGGUAGGGUAAAGGCCUACCUAGGCAACGAUACAUAGCCGACCUGAGAGGGUGAUCGGCCACACUGGGACUGAGACACGGCCCAGACUCCUACGGGAGGCAGCAGUAGGGAAUCUUCGGCAAUGGGGGGAACCCUGACCGAGCAACGCCGCGUGAGUGAAGAAGGUUUUCGGACCGUAAAGCUCUGUUGUUAAGGAAGAACGAGUGUGAGAAUGGAAAGUUCAU